rnacentral:rRNA from 1 species
UACGUAGGGGGCAAGCGUUGUCCGGAUUUAUUGGGCGUAAAGAGCGUGUAGGCGGCCAGAUAGGUCCGUUGUGAAAACUGGAGGCUUAACCUCCAGCUGUCGAUGGAAACCAUCUGGCUAGAGUCCGGAAGAGGAGAGUGGAAUUCCUGGUGUAGCGGUGAAAUGCGCAGAUAUCAGGAAGAACACCAAUGGCGAAAGCAGCUUUCUGGGACGGUACUGACGCUGAGACGCGAAAGCGUGGGGAGCGAACAGG